rnacentral:rRNA from 1 species
AUUGAACGCUGGCGGCAUGCCUUACACAUGCAAGUCGAACGGUAACGGGCCUUCGGGUGCCGACGAGUGGCGAACGGGUGAGUAAUGUAUCGGAACGUACCUUUCAGUGGGGAUAACGUAGCGAAAGUUACGCUAAUACCGCAUAUUCUGUGAGCAGGAAAGCAGGGGAUCGCAAGACCUUGCGCUGAUUGAGCGGCCGAUAUCAGAUUAGCUAGUUGGUGAGGUAAAGGCUCACCAAGGCGACGAUCUGUAGCGGGUCUGAGAGGAUGAUCCGCCACACUGGAACUGAGACACGGUCCAGACUCCUACGGGAGGCAGCAGUGGGGAAUUUUGGACAAUGGGGGCGAACCCUGAUCCAGCCAUGCCGCGUGAGUGAAGAAGGCCU